GAGACAUUAGUAAAAUAGUUACAUUACCUUGUCAAGGUAAAAUUACGAGUUAAACUCUCGUAUGUCUUA
rnacentral:tRNA from 1 species